rnacentral:lncRNA from 1 species
AUCAGCAAGUUGGCUCACAGGUUAGGCACGUCAGCUAGCUCUGGGUGUCACUGAAACUGCCUCAAAGAAUAAUAUGGAAGAGAAGCUAGGAAUAUCCAGUAUCAACCUCGGGACUUCACACACAUGCACGCACACGUGAACAGAAAAAAUAUCCAUAGCCUUAUUUCUGUCCAGUGACACCGUAGCCCCAGCCAGGGUGCGCUGCCUAGACUUCUUACUAAAUGAUAUGCUUUGUGUAUGAACAGGUGGAUCUACCCAAGGAGACCAUCUUACAGUUUCUAUCGCUAGAGUGGGACGCUGAUGAACAGGCAUUUAACACAACCGUGAAACAGCUGCUGUCACGCCUGCCAAAGCAAAGAUACCUCAAACUCGUCUGCGACGAAAUCUAUAACAUCAAAGUUGAGAAGAAGGUGUCGGUGUUGUUCCUGUACAGCUACAGAGAUGACUACUACAGAAUCCUAUUCUGACCCUAAAGAACUGCUGCUGUAUUGUUCAGAUGGACAGGGACUUGUACUGGAAUAAUGGAAUGUUGUGCAUUCAAUCCAUUUUAACUUUAAAUUCUAAUAAGCUGUCCUACAAAGCUGAGCUUUGUCGGUUUUUCAUGUGUUAUAAAUUCACCUUUUUGAUAUAAUAAAUGUUUUCAUAUAU